GCAAUUCGCACGGGGGCUCUGGCCUCGUGGGCGGACGGGGUGAGUCACGCGUAGGAACGUGUCCCGGGAACGGGGGAUCACGCUUGGGAAACUCGGCGCUCACCCGCAUGUCUCGCUGAGGCAGAGAGCCUUUCGGGUGUCUUCGGGAGCGGCCUCGCGUCCGAUUAGCUAGUUGGUGGGGUAAGAGCCUACCAAGGCGACGAUCGGUAGCUCGGUCUGAGAGGACGAUCAGCCACACUGGGACUGAGACACGGCCCAGACUCCUACGGGAGGCAGCAGUGGGGAAUAUUGGACAAUGGGCGGAAGCCUGAUCCAGCAAUUCCGCGUGGGUGAAGAAGGUCUUCGGAUUGUAAAGCCCUUUCGGCGGGGACGAUGAUGACGGUACCCGCAGAAAGAAGCCCCGGCUAACUUUCGUGCCAGCAGCCGCGGUAAUACGAAGGGGGCUAGCGUUUGCUCGGAAUUUACUGGGCGUAAAGGGCGCGUAGGCGGCGGUGUUAGUCAGGCGUGAAAUUUCCUGGGCUUAACCUGGGGACUGCGCUUGAUACGGCAUUGCUUGAGGGUGGAAGAAGGCUCGCGGAAUUCCCAGUGUAGAGGUGAAAUUCGUAGAUAUUGGGAAGAACACCGGUGGCGAAGGCGGCGAGCUGGUCCAUUACUGACGCUGAGGCGCGACAGCGUGGGGAGCGAACAGGAUUAGAUACCCUGGUAGUCCACGCCGUAAACGAUGUGCGCUGGAUGUUGGGUGGCCUAGCCACUCA
rnacentral:rRNA from 1 species